GAUGAACGCUGGCGGCGUGCCUAAUACAUGCAAGUCGAGCGAACGGACGAGAAGCUUGCUUCUCUGAUGUUAGCGGCGGACGGGUGAGUAACACGUGGAUAACCUACCUAUAAGACUGGGAUAACUUCGGGAAACCGGAGCUAAUACCGGAUAAUAUUUUGAACCGCAUGGUUCAAAAGUGAAAGACGGUCUUGCUGUCACUUAUAGAUGGAUCCGCGCUGCAUUAGCUAGUUGGUAAGGUAACGGCUUACCAAGGCAACGAUGCAUAGCCGACCUGAGAGGGUGAUCGGCCACACUGGAACUGAGACGCGGUCCAGACUCCUACGGGAGGCCGCAGUAGGGAAUCUUCCGCAAUGGGCGAAAGCCUGACGGAGCAACGCCGCGUGAGUGAUGAAGGUCUUCGGAUCGUAAAACUCUGUUAUUAGUGAAGAACAUAUGUGUAAGUAACUGUGCACAUCUUGACGGUACCUAAUCAGAAAGCCCCGGCUAACUACGUG
rnacentral:rRNA from 1 species